rnacentral:rRNA from 1 species
UACAGAGGUCUCAAGCGUUGUUCGGAUUCAUUGGGCGUAAAGGGUGCGUAGGUGGCGCUGUAAGUCGGGUGUGAAAUUUCGGAGCUUAACUCCGAAACUGCAUUCGAUACUGCGGUGCUUGAGGACUGGAGAGGAGACUGGAAUUCAUGGUGUAGCAGUGAAAUGCGUAGAGAUCAUGAGGAAGACCAGUGGCGAAGGCGGGUCUCUGGGCAGUUACUGACGCUGAGGAGCGAAAGCGUGGGUAGCAAACAGG